rnacentral:lncRNA from 1 species
AUGGGGUCUCUAUGGGGUCUCUAUGGGCUCCUAUGGAUCCCCAUGGGAUUCUAUGGGGCUCUAUGGGGACCUAUGGGGCUCUAUGGGUGCCUAUGGGACUCUAUAGGGUCUCUAUGGGCUCCUAUGGAUCCCUAUGGGUCUCUGUGUGUCCCUGUGGGGUCUCUAUGGGGUCUCUAUGGGGUCACCCUAUUCCUCCUUGUCACCCCAUCCAGCAGCGGGUGCAGCAGGUCCCUGUGUGUCUCUAUGGGCUCCUAUGGAUCCCUAUGGGUCUCUAUGGGGUCUCUAUGGAUCUCAAUGGGGUCUCAAUGGGUCCCUAUGGGGUACUAUGAAUUCUCUAUGGGGUCACCCUAUUCCUCCUUGUCACCCCAUCCAGCAGUGGGUGCAGCAGGUCCCUGUGUGUCCCUAUGGGGUCUCAAUGGCUCUCAAUGGGUCUCUAUGGGAUCUCUAUGGGUCUCUAUGGAUCCCUAUGGGUCUCUAUGGAUCUCAAUGGAUCCCUAUGGGGUCCCUAUGGGUCCCUAUGGGGUAUUUAUGGGGUACUAUGGGGUCUCUAUGGGGUCACCCUAUUCCUCCUUGUCACCCCAUCCAGCAGCGGGUGCAGCAGGUCCCUGUGUGUCCCUAUGGGCUCUCAAUGGCUCUCUAUGGAUCUCAAUGGGGUCUCAAUGGGUCUCAAUGGGUCUCUAUGGAUCCCAAUGGGUCUCUAUGGGUCUCUAUGGGGUCUCUAUGGGGUCACCCUAUUCCUCCUUGUCACCCCAUCCAGCAGUGGGUGCAGCAGGUCCCUGUGUGUCCCUAUGGGCUCCUAUGGAUCCCUAUGGGUCUCUAUGGGUCUCUAUGGGGUCUCAAUGGGUCUCAAUGGGGUCUCUAUGGGGUCUCUAUGGGUCUCUAUGGGGUCUCAAUGGAUCUCAAUGGGUCUCUAUGGGUAUCUAUGGGUCUCUAUGGGUCUCAAUGGGUCUCAAUGGAUCUCAGUGGGUCUCUAUGAGGUCUAUGUGUCUCUAUGGGGUCUCUAUGGGUCUCUAUGGGCUCCUAUGGAUCUCUAUGGGUCUCUAUGGGUCUCUAUGGGNGUCUCUAUGGGGUCUCUAUGGGUCUCUAUGGGCUCCUAUGGAUCUCUAUGGGUCUCUAUGGGUCUCUAUGGGUCUCUAUGGGUCUCUAUGGGUAUCUAUGGGUCUCAGUGGAUCUCUAUGGGGUCUCUAUGGGGUCACCCUAUUCCUCCUUGUCACCCCAUCCAGCAGCGGGUGCAGCAGGUCCCUGUGUGUCCCUAUGGGGUCUCAAUGGCUCUCAAUGGGGUCUCAAUGGGUCUCUAUGGGUCCCUAUGGGGUAUCUAUGGGUCUCUAUGUGUCCCUAUGGGGUCACCCUAUUCCUCCUUGUCACCCCAUCCAGCAGUGGGUGCAGCAGCUCCUUCACUGCCCGGCCCAACAGGGAUCGGCUGCAGCUCAAUGUUGGCUCCAAAUGGGUCAGAACCAGCUGCCGGGAACCUGGGAGAGGGGAUAA